CGCGACUAGGUUCAUGCGGUCCUGGACCUCGGUCUCUGGUGUCUGGCCUGGGGCUGGGGAUGAGAGCGGGGAAGGUGGUAGCUCCCCGAGAAGGAGCGGCGGGACGCGUGUGGCCGGGAGUGCUGAGACCCAGGGUGUCUGUUUUCAAGGCACUGACUUUGGGGAUUGCUCCGGAUUUCCCUCCGCAGAAGGCCGAACCUGGAACAUAUGGUCCAGUGGAGGGAGAGGAGAGGCACACCCAAAGAGAAGGACUGCGCAAGGGGAAACCGUGGCUGCUCAGGGUGGAAAUGAGAGCUGUGACUAUGUGAGGUGGAAGCAGGCGCUGAGGAAGAAGGAGCAACUCACUGCUUGA
rnacentral:lncRNA from 1 species